AUGGUAUGUCCACUCCAACAAAGUUUUCAUUUUAGUUUUGUUUGGUUCCUCUUUGAUAUCUAAGUAUACUUAUUUUUAUCAAGUUUUCAUUUUACUUGUUUUUGUCGUUAUUAGUAGAUUUAUUUAUUAUCUCACAUUAAGAGUGUCUAGCUUAGCUAACUUGUAGUAAAGUUCAGAUUUUGACAAAUUUAUUGGUUUUUUUCUUCUUUCUAAAAGAUUUAGUUGACAACACAAUGUGAUUUGUAGUCCUGUCCAUACAUGUACAAACAAAAAUGCUUUAUUGCAAGAAAACAAUUUGUAAACAUCAAUUAGAAGAUGAGGAAAUAGUUUUGUUUAAAUGUAGCAAACUAUUCUUUCAAUUUCUCAUGACUUUCACUUCUUUGUGAACAAGAACAAUCUCUGCAUUGACAGAUACAGAAGAUAUUUUCAACUAACCAAGAAAACAUAUAUUCUUUUACAUGUGGUUGGAGACUCCUUGAAACUCUUUGAAAGAAGAUUUUUCAGUUUGUAAUGGCUAAACUGAGAAAGAAAUGAGGAGUUAGAUCCAGGUUCAGUUGGUCUCAACAGAAAGCAAAUACACUUGAACAGUGUUUGGUUUUCAGUUUGAGACACUCUAAACUCAGUUUAAGAGUUAGUAUAGUUUUGAGACACCAUAACUUUCAAUAGUAUGUGUGUCUACAUUAAAAUUUUGACUGAGAAUUGGUUCUGUAAAAGGCAAGUCUUGAGUUGUUUUUGGAAACAUAGUUUGCAAACAUGUUUUUGAUUCAAAAUGAAAGUUGCAAACUUUUAUUCAUUUAUACAUGAAUUUGGUUGUUGAGAAACUUGAAUAUGGCAUUUGGUAUAGGCCAACAAUGUAAAUCCUCAAGUUCCUGCACCUGUAUCUGCACCACCAGUGAAGGCACCAACUCCUACCCCUCCUGUGAAAUCACCAUCUUACCCUCCAGGGCCAGUGACCACACCAAGUCCAACUACACCCCCUGUUAAGGUACCCCCUCCUCAGUCUCCAACAGUGAAGCCACCAGCUCCAUCACCCCCACAAGUGAAGCCACCAACACCAACCCCCCCAGUGGUGUACCCUCCUCCUCUAUCUCCAGUAGUGAAAUCAACUAAGGGUAAGUGGUUACCAAAUCCAUGUCUCUCAUGAAUGAUAUGAUUCUGUCACUUUUUGUUAAUUUAUUUUGGUCAUUGUACUUUCAAAUGACAAGGAUUAAAAUUGGUUAAAUAUGUGUAAGAACAAAAACAAGUAACCUUUUGUUUGAAACUAUAUAUUAGUUAGAUAUGUAUUUAUCAAAUGUGUUUGUGGUCUAUGAAAAACCUGAUCUGAAGCAAGUCACUUUAAAGAAUGUGAGCCAAUCUCCAAUCUCAUGAUGCAUGUGAGAGAACCUUUGUUCUACUGUUAAACAGUGCCAAUUAUUAAUGUGACAAUGAAAAACCUGAUCUGAAGCAAGUCAUUUUAAAGAAUGUGAGCCAAUCUCACAUCUCAUGAUGCAUGUGAGAGAACCUUUGUUCUGCUGUUAAACAGUACCAAUUAUUAAUGUGACAUUCUUCUUUAAGUGCUACACUGAAUUAAUUACUGAAGGCUUUUUUGUGCAUUUUUUUUUUCAGAUUGCAUUCCACUGUGUGAUGGCAGGUGCCAAUUGCACUCAAGGAAGAAACUGUGCUUGAGGGCAUGCACGACCUGUUGUUACCGUUGCAAGUGUGUUCCUCCUGGAACUUAUGGCAACAGAGAAAUGUGUGGCAAAUGCUACACUGAUAUGUUGACUCAUGGCAACAAAUACAAGUGCCCUUAAACCCCUACCUAUUCAGUAGCACCUAAGUUUUUUUUCUUUUUCUUUUAAGUUAUAAGUCUGAAUGCAUGAGUAUCUGGUUUGAUCAAGUUGCUGGUGCACUUAAUAAUCGAGUGAUGAUCAUCAUAAAUUACAGAAGUAAUCGUGUUGAUCCAUUGGUUCAACACUGUUUUUGUGUUGUCUGAAGGAUCAAUGUGGUCCAUGAAAUAUCAUCUGAUUAAUAUAAGGAAGUAUUUUGGUGUACCAAAUUGAGAAUUACAACUUCUUGCUAUGAUUGAUAUCUCAGUACAAAUUUGAGAACUAUAUAAUUAAUAUAUGAAGAUGACCCUUUCCAAGAUUUUGAUUCCUUUUUGGGCACAUCUUUUUGAGAUGUUAUGAGGU
rnacentral:lncRNA from 1 species